GACCGCACGGGAUAAUGAUGAUUAUCCCGUGCGGUCUGAUUAGGAGGCCCGCACGGGAAAAUCGAUUUUCCCGUGCGGGC
rnacentral:pre_miRNA from 11 species